GCAUUUCCUGUGAGUUACACACACACAGAUAUAUUUACACACAAUGCAUUGGCUUCUUCUGCUGAACAAAAUGAUGUGGGAGGCGAGAUACGUGGCCAAGUCAGUCCUCCCUGCAUCUGCUGCUGCAGGAGGAAACACAGAGGACUGCAGGGACCUCAAGUACAGAACAAAAGACAAAUAUCGUGAGAUCAGUGUCACCAUCCCACGUCUGAACAAUCACCAGUGACUCUCCAACUGCUCGGCCUCAUGUUCCUGUACUCCACGCAUACGCAGCAUGGAUGGAGGAGGAGGAGGACGCUGUUGUUGACUGCAGCCUUUUGACUGAAUCAGCAUAAACACACUGACGAGGGGAAUCCUUCACGCUGUUUUAUAAAUUUCCAGAGUUUCUGCACUUUUAACCUCAAACGACCAAGAUUUCAUACAGGAAUUCUUUCUCACUGACUCUGUUUGCGCUUCCUUUAUCUACAGCAG